rnacentral:lncRNA from 1 species
AGGCAAGCCAGUCCCAUCCUUCCCAGCAACUGGGACUUUCCGGGCAGGGCUCCCCAGCGCGGGUUCACCUAAUUAAGGAAGCAAUGGGCCUCCCCUGAGGCUAUUCAUGCUUCCUCACCCACAGUUCUCAGGUUCUGUGAGACCAGAGCCUCAGUCUCCCGUGAGCACAGGGUGUGUGUGGCUGCCGCUAAUCUGCAGACGCUGGCUCCACCCCACAGAGUUGGAGGGCCAGGAAAUCUGCAUUUAAACAGACCCUGGCUCUCACACUUCGGAAACUGCUCGAAGCACCUCUCAAAUAUGGGACAGGUGCUUAGGCCAAAGCCCAGGAAUCUCUUGAAUGAACGCAUGAAGGUGGAGCCCUUUCCCUUAAUGCGCAGGUGAAAAGGGCACCUCGGUGGAUUCUACUAAAUUUAAUAGAAGACCCAAGACAGGGGGUGGGGGAGACAUGCUUUGUGCUCACCUUGCUGGUUCAUAGUCAGGUGGCCCGGAGGACCCAGCCCUGGCAGCUGUGGGGUAGCUCCAGCCUGGGCCGGACAGCUUCUUUCAUCGCAGGCACCACUGGGGACAUUG